rnacentral:rRNA from 1 species
UGAGGAAUAUUGGACAAUGGGCGCAAGCCUGAUCCAGCCACGCCGCGUGCAGGAUGAAGGCCUUCGGGUUGUAAACUGCUUUUGUACGGAACGAAAAGACUUCUUCUAAUAAAGGGGUACCAUGACGGUACCGUAAGAAUAAGCACCGGCUAACUACGUGCCAGCAGCCGCGGUAAUACGAAGGGUGCGAGCGAUAAUCGGAAUUACUGGGCGUAAAGCGUGCGCAGGCGGUUAUAUAAGACAGAUGUGAAAUCCCCGGGCUCAACCUGGGAACUGCAUUUGUGACUGUCUAGCUAGAGUACGGCAGAGGAGGAUGGAAUUCCGCGUGUAGCAGUGAAAUGCGUAGAUAUGCGGAGGAACACCGAUGGCGAAGGCAAUCCCCUGGGCCUGUACUGACGCUCAUGCACGAAAGCGUGGGGAGCAAACA